rnacentral:tRNA from 1 species
AAGAUACUAGUAAAAUUAUUACACUAACUUGUCAAGCUAAAAUUAUGAGGUUAUUACUCAUGUAUCUUG